GAUGAACGCUGGCGGCGUGCCUAAUACAUGCAAGUCGAGCGAACAGACGAGGAGCUUGCUCCUCUGACGUUAGCGGCGGACGGGUGAGUAACACGUGGAUAACCUACCUAUAAGACUGGGAUAACUUCGGGAAACCGGAGCUAAUACCGGAUAAUAUAUUGAACCGCAGGGGGCAAUAGUGAAAGACGGUUUUGCUGUCACUUAUAGCUGGAUCCGCGCCGCAUUAGCUAGUUGGUAAGGUAACGGCCUACCAAGGCAACGAUGCGUAGCCGACCUGAGAGGGUGAUCGGCCACACUGGAACUGAGACACGGUCCAGACUCCUACGGGAGGCAGCAGUAGGGAAUCUUCCGCAAUGGGCGAAAGCUUGACGGAGCAACGCCGCGUGAGUGAUGAAGGUCUUCGGAUCGUAAAACUCUGUUAUUAGGGAAGAACAAAUGUGUAAGUAACUAUGCACGUCUUGACGGUACCUAAUCAGAAAGCCACGGCUAACUACGUG
rnacentral:rRNA from 1 species